GAUGAACGCUGGCGGCGUGCCUAACACAUGCAAGUCGAACGAAGCACUUUGAAGUUUUCGGACAGAUGAGUGACUGAGUGGCGGACGGGUGAGUAACGCGUGGGUAACCUGCCUCAUACAGGGGGAUAACAGUUAGAAAUGACUGCUAAUACCGCAUAAGCGCACAGUACCGCAUGGUACAGUGUGAAAAACUCCGGUGGUAUGAGAUGGACCUGCGUCUGAUUAGCUAGUUGGUGGGGUAACGGCUACCAAGGCGACGAUCAGUAGCCGGCCUGAGAGGAUGAACGGCCACAUUGGGACUGAGACACGGGCCCAGACUCCUACGGGAGCAGCAGUGGGAAUCUCCCGGCAAUGGACGAAAGUCUGACGGAGCAAUGCCGCGUGAGUGAUGAAGG
rnacentral:rRNA from 1 species